AUUGAACGCUGGCGGCAGGCCUAACACAUGCAAGUCGAGCGGAUGAAGGGAGCUUGCUCCUGGAUUCAGCGGCGGACGGGUGAGUAAUGCCUAGGAAUCUGCCUGGUAGUGGGGGAUAACGUCCGGAAGCGGGCGCUAAUACCGCAUACGUCCUGAGGGAGAAAGUGGGGGAUCUUCGGACCUCACGCUAUCAGAUGAGCCUAGGUCGGAUUAGCUAGUUGGUGGGGUAAAGGCCUACCAAGGCGACGAUCCGUAACUGGUCUGAGAGGAUGAUCAGUCACACUGGAACUGAGACACGGUCCAGACUCCUACGGGAGGCAGCAGUGGGGAAUAUUGGACAAUGGGCGAAAGCCUGAUCCAGCCAUGCCGCGUGUGUGAAGAAGGUCUUCGGAUUGUAAAGCACUUUAAGUUGGGAGGAAGGGCAGUAAGUUAAUACCUUGCUGUUUUGACGUUACCAACAGAAUAAGCACCGGCUAACUUCGCG
rnacentral:rRNA from 1 species